CUAUAUGCAUUCAUAUGCAUAAUGCAUUUCAUUCAGGUACGUUAAUUAAUCGCGCGAUGUGGAAGACAAGCCAAGUCGACCCCAAGCGCGGGCUAAUCCGCAGGAUGAUGCUGAUGGACAAACCUGAAAAUGGCCGCCAAGUGGACGUCGUCUAACAACACUAACCUAGUGUUACCCAGGCAAGCCCAGGUGCAUGCAACCCUUUCCUUGUGUUUUUAAAUAAUUUUCGCACACUUUAAGUCUAGUGAAAUGUGCAUUAGGUUCAUAGGAGUUGCUUGGAACCCUUUGAUGCAUUACUUUCCUUGAUAUCCAUACCUUUAUAGAUACUUCUGUGAAGUAUCAAAAUAUGAUUUACAAAAAUGCUUAGUCUUGCUUAGAUCUUGUGGAUAGAGGUUGUCCUUAGCCUAGCUCGAGAAAGGAUGACUUCUACCUGCAAGAAUAUUUUCAUUUGGAGCAAUGGUGGGAUCUUACUGCAAAGUUCCCUGUGAUGCUCUUUUCAUCCUAAGGAACAGAAACAAUCCUAAGGAUGAAAAUACUUAAAUUGAGACUUGGGUUAGGAACAGGUGAUGUUCUACCCAGGUUGAUUAAGGAUUGAAUGCGUAUGUAGGCGUGCUGAUCGAGGACCCUUUAACUGGUCACAUGCCUCAUCAUGGGUAAGCCUUGCCUCGGGCAGACUAAGGCCAGAAUAAGAUAACACGAAAUGGGCGUGGAGCGGUGGCGAGAGUAGCGUGUACCCUCCGUGGCAAGAGGCUGGACGGUGGUGUAUCUGUGCUCUCGGUUUGCGUGAACCUGAUCUGGUCUUAAGAACCUCGGUGGCGGGUUGACAUAUGCAAGGGUUAAGUGCUACAUAUGUCGUGUGAUUGGAGAUCCUCAGCUGAGUAUAAUCGAUUCGGAUCGCCGUACCUUCGCGGUUAUGAAGACUUGGUCACUUCCCUACAACCUAAGUCAGGAUGCGAACUUCAUGAAUAAAAAUGAUAUUGUAUUAAUGAAAUGAUAAAAUUAGACUAGAGGCAAACAGAGUCUAUUAAUAUUUAAUCUGACGUUAAAAUGUUGAAAGUAAGGACUCACUUUAGUAAGCUAUUUCUGCAAAAGUAUCUAAGUUGAUUUUUGCUAAAGCCUCUCCUUGACUCCUAUUUAUCCAGCAUACCCUUGAGAGUCUUUUCCUUAGUCGGGUAAGACUUGCUGAGUAAUUCCAUACUCAGGGUUUUAUUCCCUGUUGUUUUUCAGGUUCUAACUUUGUGCUGUUGUUGAUGGGGUUAAGUGCCGGUGGGCUCGGCCUUCUUAUAAGUCUAAGUAACCCUUCUAUACUUCUUAUUGAGGAUGAUCCCUUGAGCUAGCAUAUAUUUCAAACUUAUACUUUUGUAACCACUCCGAUAAACUAAUGUAAAAUUUUUGUAACCUGUAAAAUUUGGUAGUAAGAUUUCCGCUGCAACAAUAUUGGUGUGUGUGAUUUGUGUUACUUAAUCCCGCGGUUCUGGUUGUAAGUGGUUUAUCCGAUGUCCUUGGGGCAAUCGGACGGAUCCUGUUAAGUUAUCUGGUGCACAUGCAUAGCAGUCUGAGGUCUUUGAGACAAGGACAGGUGCAUGUGGGCCCAAUAACUUGGGAGGUUCUGCCACAGCUGGUAUCGGAGCUGGAUUAAGUAUAUACGGUCACAUACAUAUUUUCAAAACAAAGGUUUUGGUUUUGAAAACCCUAUUUUCAACUAAACACAUUCUUUGGCUUUGAAAAACAGCUUUGAAAAACUAUAAUGCUAGCGACAUCCUCUGUUAAGCCCUAAGUUAAGGACUAUUAGGUGGCUUAUUUAAAAACCACUAACCCACAACCGGGUGGGUAUUGCAUACAUGUGUAUUGUUAUUUUUAAGGCCAUUCAGUUUUGAAUGGAUCGACGCUCAGGUAAGGUGAGAUGUGAGAGCAUGACCGAACAACCGUCGGUCUAGGGGAGUGCUUAAUUGUGGCGCUUGAUUAUAUACAUGUUCCACAUAUGUAUAUAUGAAGGCUGCGAUAUGGAGUAUUUUCUUUUCUGGGAAUUCAGUACCCCAUGUGUGUGUAUGGGUAUACAGACAUGGGAAUACUGAGAAGUGUAAUGUACUUGUAACGACGCACUUACGCUCAGGUAAGAAGGUGAGUUACCAUAAUGGGUUGCCCUAUGGUUAAAGUGUGGCAACAGCGCCUAUGCGUGGCUCGGCGCUUAAUGAUGAGCUGGCCUCCAUAUAGCAAUAUAUGGAGUAUAAACUGUGAUAAACUGUCAUGUGUGACUUGCAUCAUUAGGAAAAUGGGCUGUGAUGAAAUUUUCUGCAGGUACCCUAACCUCGAAAACGUAUGUGUAGCUGACGACUAGCAAAAUACCGUGAGAGUCGUAAGUAUGCCACCGAGAUAGAACGCUAUUGCCAUAUUAAAUUGGCAAAAAUUCGUGAGGACGUGUAGGACGAGCAUGCAUCCUGAUUGUUGCAUUAUGUUUGUCACCUAUACACCCAAAAUGCUUCUCUCACCUUUAUUCUAAUAACCGGUGAUUGUAGAUAAUGUGGUGUAAUGUUGUAUUGUGAACUUCGAUAAAAUAGUUGUCCUCCGUUCUUUAGGUAACCUGUUAAGGUGUUAUAUGUGUUUGCUCUUGUGCUUGAUGUGUUGAUAGAAAGUUGGUAAUUGUUCGCCUAAACCCAGAACUAGGCCAUGUUCUUAUUUAGUGAACUAUGACCCCAAAGUUGAAUUCUCCAUUAUCACUCCAUGACCAAACUCAUGCAAAUAAAUGCGUAGACAAUUUCCUUAUUGGACAUAAAAUGUACCUAAGCUUAAAACAAGUAUCUCAAGUCAUGUCUUCUUCUAGAACCAUUCCUUUGUUCAGUUGAUGCCUUGGUUUCCUCAUGUUUAUCGAAGGCAUAUCAACUUAAUCCUUGACCUUGUGAUCUCUACGGUGGACAUAGAAAUAUGCUUGGGGCUGAAUUAACAGUUUCCCAUCGUACUCCUUCCAACAAGUUUAUGUUAUGGCCAUACCUUGUCCGUUUCAUCGGGCCAUGAUCUAUCUGGUCUCUACUUAUAACCGUUCUUACAGGUAGAGUAUCUCUUUGUAUAUUAUCACCCUUGCCCAGUCUAAUUGUGUUGUGCGAGAUUUCUUAUUGGUUUUGUCUGGUAAUGGUGUUAUGACUAAAACCGGUGGUGCCGUGACGAAACCGAGGGCCUUCUGUGUGUGCGCACACAUGGUCGUGCUGCUCGGCAUGCGCUGGUAUCACGGUUAGUAGUUGUAAUCCAUUAUGAGACUAUAUCAAUGUGUUAUUUUGGCACAAUCUAGUUUUAACACGUGAGAUUCAUUAUUGGUGCCAGUUCGGUAAUGGUGUCACGAUUAAUGACUUAUGGUGCCGCAGCGAAACUGAGAGCCCCUUGUGAAUGUACAUGCAAGGUUAUGCUGCUUGGCGCAUGCUGGUAUCAAGGUCCCUAGUCAUGAUCCAUUGUGGAACUACACUGAUGUGUUAUCUUUCGUGGACCUUCCCUUGAAACAAAUUCUAUGUUGUUUGUGAAGUGAUCAAGCAACAUAUAUCAUCUUUAUUGGAUCCAAAAAGGGCAUACCACUUUCGUGUGUGGUCUCUUUUCUUUGAUCUUGAUAGUGAUUACUUGUACAAGUUCCCUUUACAUCCUUUGUGUAAAGGUGAAACCUUGGAGCUUUUUAGUGUUGGAAGACAGCUGAUUAGCUCUAAAAUGGAGAUUGAUUUUCCCUACAGCUGAAAUGCAGGAGUUUGUCCAGUUGUUCUCUUACUUAAUCCAUGUAUUCCCUAACCAAGUGGAUGAUUCAUCUCGCCUGAAGAAACGGAUGAACAACCUGACCAAAUGGAUUUCUACCCAAAUGCAUGAUCAACUGUUAACAAGAGUGAACUCUCAACCCUUGGCUUACCGAUGGUACUGAGAGGGCUUGCUCAAUGUCAAAAGUAGUUCAACAAGUUGGUUUUACUAACUCACUUUGGUUCAACCCAUCUUAAGGAAGUACUUUCAAGAAUCGAGAUUAAGUCGACCAGAAACCACCUAGUUAUCGCUCUAGUCAUGCCUCGAUCGCCUCACGUGUGCUUUUCCAGCAUGUGUGAUCAAGUCGAGCCAUGGUUAGUACUUGCUAAAAUGGAUUGGUUGCAAAGACAACAUCUACAGAUCCCUCCGCUGGUGAUUCUCUCGAAUCUAUAUCACCUUUCAGGGACUUGGAUUUUCUGGCUAGCCACGCGUCAACUGUGAUGUUAUUCGGCAUUCACACCCGUCUCGUGUGCUAUGAAUUUCCUGUAACCACUUGUUGGUAAACUCCUUUUGUGUGUUUUACCCAAGAGGUUGCAUCUGAUUCUGUUAGGAUAAAAUCGCAUAAUUACCUCUCGCUCAACAGACUCAGAUAGUACAGUGUCAUCAGAAAAAGCGAACUGCACACAUGGAACCUUAUGUGUUCCUUUGGCAGAUAUCGUCUCUAUUGGUGGACAUUUCUAAAUUAGCCUAAGGCGAUACAUGUUAUGCCCACUAGAGAAGCAACAUUCCGAGACACUCGCCUCUGCUUGGAACUGCCAUAUAAUUAUCGCUGAUAUGGACAUGGGUUACAUGCUUCUCUACUCUUAGAAGUCUUUCGCUCCGAAUCUCGGGACGAGAUUCUUUUAAGGGGGGAGGGUUGUAACACCGCAGGUGUUUAUAUUCCGCUCGACAACGAGUACGGAUUUAAGCACGUAAUAUCAGUAAAUAAAACAGAUACUUUAUUCUAAUUAUUUUCACCAUCGCGAUUUUAGGAUCGCAUCUGUUUCGUCUGUCGCGAGUGCGACGUCGUUUUUAUUUUCAUCUAUUUAGGCUCGUCCUAAAUUUUCGUGAUGUUCGGAACAUAGCUGUUCCGAAAAUCGGUGCGUCCAGUGAUUAUUUAAAAUUCAUCGCUCGCGCGAAUACGAAUUCGGAAGCCCGACCCACUCGGAUGAUUUUUAUCCUGAGCAAAUUAGUGUGAACUUAACAACUAAAAUGUUCGGGGUAAAAUAAUUUGUAUCGCGCAUUGUCCGAGAAAAAUCGUGCGCAAAGUUAUUAUCCAAUUUAUUCUUCGGCACACUCUGUAAAAUAAUAAAAUCAACUGUGUUUAGACAUCGGAUAAAUUUUUAUCCGAGAUCGACUAAAUCAGUAUUGUCUCAAAAUAAUGUAUCUGAUAUCCAGUCCGUUUCCGUGUUGCCGAAAUCAGCUUAUUUCGGUCUGUCGUUUCUUGACCGAUCCAAAACCUCGGAUAAAUAACUAGUAAAAAUUCAUCUGAUUCCGAGAGUGUUCACCAUAUUGAAUUCGCUGAUGUUAUUUUCAUCAAACACAUUUGUGCCUCUUUUAAACCCUAGAAAUUAGAUUUGUCUCUAUAUCUACAUUAACUAAAUGCAGAAAAUAUCUUUCUAUCCUAUCCAGCUAUCGUGUAGACUUGGCCUCAUCCUCUAAUUACUCCACACGUCUUCUAUUAUUCUUAUUUUCUAUACGUUCCUAUCCUCUAGCUGAUAUUUUCUGCACAUGAAGUCCUCCCUCACAAAUCUCUGCUUGCUCGGCAUUAGAAGCUCGCACACGUCCCUCUCCCUCUUGUAUUUUCUCUCCAUUAGUCUCCACAACGUUCCUGAUAUAUACAACGUUCCUGAUAUUUUUCAUCAGAUUGAUUUUUUCCCUUGAACGGUUGAGCCUCAUCCUUCCCACCGCUCUUUCUCUGUUAUAUUUCCUUGGCAUCAUAAACAUACGAAUUAGUGGAACCAAGGUUUAUAUAAAAACAAAAACAAGAAAUUUCAAUAUGUUAUUUUUAUCGACCUUAUCCCAUGCUGCCCAGAAGUAUCUCACCACCGCUUUAUUCAGUCUUAUCCUCCUGAUGCCCUCGCUCAUGUGAAAUAUCCUUAACGUCUUCUCCUCCUACGCAGAUAUAUUCACUACUAGGCGCAUUUCCUUUCUUCCCAUUGCGCAACACCCCCGCGGUAGUAUCCAACUGGUCGUCAGCUUGUCGCUCUCCGUCCUGGACAUCGCUCCCAGCACACUCGUCCUUGGCUCGGCAUCCCCCUCGAGCUCGUCCUCUCCUCAUCUCCAUGGUCGUCGUAUCUGCUCCUCCGUUCAAGCUAUUUAGGUCCGGCCGUCGAUGCGUCCAUGGGUCUCCGGCCUUGCUUGCCCGUCGCACGCGAGGCUGACUCUCUGCCUCGCUGUGCUCGUCGGGGUCACCCUCCAUGCUGGUGCUCACCCUUAUGGCGUCCCUCGUCUCCCUGGGCUCCUUUUGUCGCGUCCAGUUCUAGUCACUGUUAUCCGCUGAACCACCGUCGCGCCGGGUUGCCCCUGAUUCGUGGAAUUCACCGGCUUUCCCGUGCGCAGUCGCGGAUGCCGUCGCUCGGCCCUUGUGUCUUGCUGAGCUCAUCACCGUCGCUUAUCCCUAACGCUCGUCAUGGACCUCGUCGUCGGCCUACGUUGUAUCCACGACAUGCUUGUCGACUCUGAUGAUCUGUUUUCCAAUUGCGUGCUGCCUACGUCGAUUUUCGGAACUCCUUGCCGUGCUCGACUCUGCAAGUCUCCAACUCGUUGUUAUUCGUGCAUCCCCAAGAGAUCCCAAGAAUCGGGUGAAGACGAAGUUAACAGCGCGAUAUUCCCCCAAGCGCUCGACAAAUUGCUUGGAUCGGAAAAUCGCUACCGAUCUCGUAGAUUCAUCUCAUCUGUGGAAACGGUAAGCUGAUAAAUUAUUUAGAAUAGUUCGAUCGUUGAAUAAAUUAAUGUGUUAGUGCGAGGCUUAUUAAGGUGCUCGAUAAAUUGCGUGAGUCACGAAACUCUCGUCGACUUCGCAGUUCUUGUGAUUAUCGAGCCAGAUUCAGCUAUAGCGAAUUAUUUCGGUAUUCCGGUCACUUAGCUGAAUUAGUGGAUCGAGUAGAAUUUUAGUAGGCAUGUGUGUUGAUGAAAUAAUUUAAUCACUUAUAAAGAUGUAGUAUAAUUUAUAAGGCAAGGGAUUAGUUCAGAAUUAAAUUAAUUAACUGAUAAGUUAUGAUUAGGCUAAUUGUAUUUCGUGUGUAUAGUUUGUUGUUCGUGAUGUUUGUGUUAGGUUCGAGAAGCGUAAUUAUUGCGCUUAGUCGUACGUCUGUAACUAGUGUUUCCGUAUAAAAUUAUACAACGCCUCGCCGAUCGGUGUUUAAAUUCGCCAUCGCGUAGCACUAUUUAGGGUUUUUGAUAUUCAUGUCUAUAUGCAUUCAUAUGCAUAAUGCAUUUCAUUCAGGUACGUUAAUUAAUCGCGCGAUGUGGAAGACAAGCCAAGUCGACCCCAAGCGCGGGCUAAUCCGCAGGAUGAUGCUGAUGGACAAACCUGAAAAUGGCCGCCAAGUGGACGUCGUCUAACAACACUAACCUAGUGUUACCCAGGCAAGCCCCGGUGCAUGCAACCCUUUCCUUGUGUUUUUAAAUAAUUUUCG
rnacentral:lncRNA from 1 species